CAAUAGCGUAUAUUAAAGUUGUUGCAGUUAAAAAGCUCGUAGUUGGAUUUCUGAAGGUAGUAGUCGGGCUGCCCCGUGUGGGUACGUCUACAACUAUCUUCAUCCUUCUGUUAACGAUUCUUGGCCUUCAUUGGCUGGUUUCGAGCUCAGAUACUUUACCUUGAGAAAAUUAGAGUGUUUCAGGCAGGCUUUGCGCCGGAAUACAUUAGCAUGGAAUAAUAGAAUAGGACUUCGUCUCAUUUUGUUUGGUUUUAUGAACGGAGUAAUGAUUAAUAGGGAUAGUUGGGGGCGAUUAGUAUUUAACUUGUCAGAGGUGAAAUUCUUUGAUUUGUUAAAGACUAACUUAUGCGAAAGCAUUUGUCCAAGAAUGUUUUCUAUUAAUCAAGAACGAAAGUUA
rnacentral:rRNA from 1 species